AACGAACACUGGCGGCAUGCCUAACACAUGCAAGUCGAACGAGACCUUCGGGUCUAGUGGCGCACGGGUGCGUAACGCGUGGGAACCUGCCCUUAGGUUCGGAAUAACUCCCCGAAAGGGGUGCUAAUACCGGAUAAUGUCUUCGGACCAAAGAUUUAUCGCCUUUGGAUGGGCCCGCGUUGGAUUAGCUAGUUGGUAGGGUAAAAGCCUACCAAGGCGACGAUCCAUAGCUGGUCUGAGAGGAUGAUCAGCCACACUGGGACUGAGACACGGCCCAGACUCCUACGGGAGGCAGCAGUGGGGAAUAUUGGACAAUGGGCGAAAGCCUGAUCCAGCAAUGCCGCGUGAGUGAUGAAGGCCUUAGGGUUGUAAAGCUCUUUUACCCGGGAUGAUAAUGACAGUACCGGGAGAAUAAGCGCCGGCUAACUCCGUG
rnacentral:rRNA from 1 species